rnacentral:rRNA from 1 species
CCUACGGGAGGCAGCAGUAGGGAAUCUUCCACAAUGGGCGAAAGCCUGAUGGAGCAACGCCGCGUGGGUGAAGAAGGUCUUCGGAUCGUAAAACCCGGUUGUUAGAGAAGAAAGUGCGGGAGAGUAACUGUUCACGUGUCGACGGUAUCUAACCAGAAAGCCACGGCUAACUACGAGCCAGCAGCCGCGGUAAUACGUAGGUGGCGAGCGUUAGCCGGAAUGAAUGGGCGUAAAGGGUGCGUAGGUGGUUUGGCAAGUUAGUAGCGUAACUCCAAGGCUCAACCUUGGAACUACGACUCAACCUUUUGGACUUGAGUGCAGGAGGGGCAACCGGAAUUCCUAGUGUAGCGGUGGACUGCGUCGAUAUUAGGCGGAACACCAGUGGCGAAGGCGGGUUGCUAGACUGUACCUGACACUGAGGCAC